AUUGAACGCUGGCGGCAUGCUUUACACAUGCAAGUCGAACGGAAACACGCCGCGAUUUCCUGACGAGUGUCGAACGGGGGCGUAAUGCAACCGCGCGGGUCCCCUCCCUGUGGGUAAGUACUCAAUAGAGUAACCCAUACCUCAUACGAGAUAAGGUUUAGAGCGGGGGGCCUUAAGGGUACACGCCGUUCUUGCGGUCGAUGUCAGAUUAGUUAGUUGGUGGGGUAAAGGCUUACCAAGCCAACGAUCUGUAGCUGGUCUGAGAGGACAACCAGCCACACUGGAACUGAGACACGGCCCAGACUCCUACGGGAGGCAGCAGUGGGGAAUCUUUGGCAAUGGGCGAAAGCCUGACGCAGCAACGCCGCGUGAAUGAAGAAGGUCUUCGGGUUGUAAACCGCUUUUGUAAGGAAAGAACAGACUUUGGUUAAUACGCGCAGAUAAUGACGGUACCGUAAGAAUAAGCAACGGCUAACUACGUG
rnacentral:rRNA from 1 species